GACGAACGCUGGCGGCGUGCCUAAUACAUGCAAGUAGAACGCUGAAGGAGGAGCUUGCUUCUCUGGAUGAGUUGCGAACGGGUGAGUAACGCGUAGGUAACCUGCCUGGUAGCGGGGGAUAACUAUUGGAAACGAUAGCUAAUACCGCAUAACAGUAGAUAUCGCAUGAUAUCUACUUGAAAGGUGCAAUUGCAUCACUACCAGAUGGACCUGCGUUGUAUUAGCUAGUUGGUGAGGUAACGGCUCACCAAGGCGACGAUACAUAGCCGACCUGUGAGGGUGAUCGGCCACACUGGGACUGAGACACGGCCCAGACUCCUACGGGAGGCAGCAGGAGGGAAUCGUCGGCAAGGAACGGAAGUCUGACCGAGCAACGCCGCGUGAGUGAAGAAGGUUUUCGGAUCGUAAAGCUCGGUUGUAAGAUAAGAACGAGUGUGAGAGUGGAAAGUUCACACUGUGACGGUAUCUUACCAGAAAGGGACGGCUAACUACGUG
rnacentral:rRNA from 1 species